UACUAAUGAAAACAUAUCCACAUUAAAACCUGCGCUUGGGUGCUUAUAGCAGUUUUAUUCAUAAUUCCUGAAACCUGGAAAUAACCAAGAUGUCCUUCAGUAGAAGAAUGGGUAAGUAAACUGUGGUACAUUCAGAGAAUGGAAUAUCAUAUCAGUGCUAAAAAGAAAUGAACUGUCAAGCCACUAAAAGACAUGGGGAAAAUGUAUAUGCAUUUUCCUAAGUUAAAAAAAAAAAAAAAGCCAGUCUGAAAAGGCUGCAUGCUGUAUAAUUCUAACUAUAUGUCAUUCUGGAAAAGGCAAAACAGGGAGACAGUAAAAAGAUCAGCCGUUGCCAGGAAGUGGAGAGAAGAAAGAGAUAAAUAAGCAAAGCAUGAAGGAUAUUUAGGGCAAUGAGACUAUUCUAUGUGAUACUACAAUGGUGGAUACAUUUAAUUAUAUGUUUGCCAAAACUCAUAAAAUAUACACCACCAUGAGGCAGGUCUAAUGUAAACUAUGAACUUUGGGUGAUAAUGUGUCAAGGUAGGUUCAUCAAAUGUAGGUAGCAAAUGUUGCACUGUGCUGUGGGGUGUCAAUAGUGAGGGAGAUUAUAUACUUGUGGGAUUAGGGAAGUAUAUGGGAACUCUCUGUACUUUUGUUCAAUUUUGCUGUGAACAAAAAAUUGCUCUAAAAAAGUGCCUAAUUUUUAAAAAAUGAAUUGGUAUGGCUGAAUUCUCUAAUGAAAUAUUCUGGAAAUAUAAGAAUAAUUUUUCAGAAUUUUAAUCAUUUAUUUCCACUAAACUAUAAAAUAUAGAGGUAAAACAUAAUUUAUUUUCAUGUUGAUUUACACUGGGUUUACAAUUUAUAGAAUGAAGGACAAUAAGAAAUUGUUCUUUUCUUAAGAAGGGACUUCAGAGUGGUAUUAGCAGUUGAGACAAAACCAAAACACAAAACUCACCUCAUGAGGAUUUUAGAAGGGGGGGGAUGGGUGAGUCCAGUGAUGGGUAUUAUGGAGGGCAAGGAUUGCAUGGAGCUCUGGGUAUUACACGCAAACAAUGAAUCAUGGAACACUACAUCAAAAACUAAUGGUGUCCUGUAUGGUGACUAACAUAACGCAAUUUUAAAAAAAGAAUGCUGGCAGGAAAUUGAUACAAGUUUAAAAAUACAUGAAGGGAUACUUGGGGCAAGAUUUGUAAUAUAAUCCUCCAGACUGGAAAUGGUUGGUUAUGUAUUAUUCUAUAGUUUGACUCAGUGGAAUCAAACAGAAUAAGAUGAAGUGCUUUUAAGUUAUUUUUCAGGUUUAUUAAUCUUUCCGAGAUAAGGGACUGUAUGUGGAAACAGAGCCAUCCGGAAAACUAUGAAGAAAUAUUUCAGCCAUUCAAAAGGAAACAAAGUAGAAGGACUGAGAAUUGGAUAGAAGACUUUGUGGUGUUGACGAGUAUUUAAAUGCCCUCGGCCUUUAAGGAAAUUCUACUGAAAUCAACAUCAGUGAGGUUUUUGUGCUGAUGAAUUUAGUUAAUUCUAACUUCUUACACAGGCUGUCAUUUAGUUCCGGUGCUGUUGCAGACAUUAAGGAUACUGAUACUCAUUUCAUCAUACUCAGAUCACUGAGAUACCUACAUUAUGAAUAAGCAAGGAGACAGGAAGGAAGCCAAGAAAAGAAAGUGAAGAUUCUGAAGUAAAUGGGUACUUGCUUUGACUAAGAUCGAAACCCACCUCUCCCCAGAGAAUAUUAGAAGAGGGCAUGGAAGACAAGCAUUGGAAAAGUAGAAUGUUUGUGCUUUUCUUUCUGGUGAACUGCAUUAAAAAUUCAGCAAAAGGGGGAUCACUUUACAUUACUCUUCUUGUUUAGCAUGUAUCGACUGACAGGUGCUGUAAACAUACAUAGACAAACAUGGUCCUGUGCUAGCAGUGCUCCAGUGACUGAGGGAAGACAGUGUUUAAUCUCCCAAAGUGAUCACACUGAGGACUUUGCAGACACACUAUGCUGAGAUUGCAGAAGAGGUCAUAAAUACUUUAUUUCCCAUAAAAUGACAGGAGCUUGCCUUUCAACUUUGAUUCUCAAAAAAAUCCAUCUGGAGAGAUGGUGUUGUUCUGGCAAUAAGUUACUAAGUUAGAGCAAUCCUCUUUUGAUUCCAAGCACUUGACUGUAACCCUUGCUGGUACUUUGGAAAUAUCGGUAGCAGAAAGCACCCAAGAGGCACCUCGGUCUUCUGCAUGUCUUGCUUUGCUGGAGGUAAAACCACCAAUCCGCAUGCCUUUGAUUUCUCUAAGGGUAGAACCUCAGCAAUCAAGGAGAGAGAACUGACCUUGGCUUUGAGAUCAGAACCAGUAUUUAAAACAUUGACUCAUUUGUGUUUUAGAGAUGUCAGGGUAAAUAAAUUAUAAAUGUUUAUAUUGAAGACUAAGAGGAUCCUUUUCCUACACUAUAGGCAGUGAUUUGGCUGAGAUUGUAUCAU